UAGGGAAUCUUCGGCAAUGGGGGGAACCCUGACCAAGCAACGCCGCGUGAGUGAAGAAGGUUUUCGGAUCGUAAAGCUCUGUUGUUAAGGAAGAACGAGUGUGAGAAUGGAAAGUUCAUACUGUGACGGUACUUAACCAGAAAGGGACGGCUAACUACGUGCCAGCAGCCGCGGUAAUACGUAGGUCCCGAGCGUUGUCCGGAUUUAUUGGGCGUAAAGCGAGCGCAGGCGGUCAAUUAAGUCUGAUGUGAAAGCCCCCGGCUCAACCGGGGAGGGUCAUUGGAAACUGGUUGACUUGAGUGCAGAAGAGGAGAGUGGAAUUCCAUGUGUAGCGGUGAAAUGCGUAGAUAUAUGGAGGAACACCAGUGGCGAAGGCGACUCUCUGGUCUGUAACUGACGCUGAGGCUCGAAAGCGUGGGUAGCAAACAGG
rnacentral:rRNA from 1 species